UACGUAGGGUGCAAGCGUUAUCCGGAAUUAUUGGGCGUAAAGAGCUCGUAGGCGGUUUGUCGCGUCUGCUGUGAAAACUGGGGGCUCAACCCCCAGCCUGCAGUGGGUACGGGCAGACUAGAGCGCGGUAGGGGAGAUUGGAACUCCUGGUGUAGCGGUGGAAUGCGCAGAUAUCAGGAAGAACACCGAUGGCGAAGGCAGAUCUCUGGGCCGUAACUGACGCUGGAGGAGCG
rnacentral:rRNA from 1 species